CACUAUAGAUUUUGUUGCUUUUUGGCUUUAGUUAGGAAUUUUGAAAACUUAUUUUCAUUUUCAAGCGUUUCAUGUACUGGUGAUGUGGUUUUAAAAAGAAAAGGUUUUUAUUAUAACGAAACAAAUGGUUUUUUCUAUUUUUAUUUUAUUAAUUAUUACCUAUCUGGCUUCGAAAGCAGAGUCUGCGAAAAACAUUACAAUAGCUCCGCAAUCGUUCCAUGUUUUAAACUUGCUGAUCAAAUAUCCCAACAUAUAAAUACUUAGAAAAGCAUGUCAGCUACAGAUUCACUUUCCGCUGAAGACCAAGAAUUCCUUGCACAAUGUGAAGAAGAGUUUAAAGACAGAUUCACAGAGAAAGAUGAAGAAUACAUGAAAGUAUAUAAUGCAGAACCAUCCGUGCCUCCAAUAGUGUCUCCCUGGUGGGUCUCACAAAACUCUGGUCGUCGAAACGACCGCCGCUAUAACAGACGAAGCACUCCGUAUGAUCGUCCAUAUGAUCGGUAUGGCAACAGAGGAGAUAGAAAUAGAGACUAUGACAGAAGAGACCAAGAAAAAUCAGAAUACCAUGGACGCAGAGGAUACAAUGACUAUGGUGACCGGAGCCAUGGAUAUCGUCAACAUAGACCCUACUAAUGGUUGUGUAUUACGUUAAGUUGUAGAUUUCAAAUGAAAUAAAUCAAUUCUUUCUCAAAAGAAUAUAUUCUCAAUUA